rnacentral:rRNA from 1 species
ACUUUCGGUGUCGAUGGCGACCGGCGAACGGGUGCGUAACGCGUAUGUAAUCUACCUUGUACUGGAGAAUAGCUUCCGGAAACGGGAAUUAAUACUCCAUAUUGUUCUUUUGUCAUAAGGCGAAAAUAUGAAAGCUCCGGCGGUACAAGAUGAGCAUGCGUCCUAUUAGCUAGUUGGUAAGGUAAAAGCUUACCAAGGCGACGAUAGGUAGGGGGUCUGAGAGGAUGAUCCCCCACACUGGCACUGAGACACGGGCCAGACUCCUACGGGAGGCAGCAGUAGGGAAUAUUGGACAAUGGGCGCAAGCCUGAUCCAGCCAUGCCGCGUGCAGGAUGACGGUCCUAUGGAUUGUAAACUGCUUUUAUACAGGAGAAAUAAGCCCUUGCGAGGGCCUAUGAUAGUACUGUAAGAAUAAGCACCGGCUAACUCCGUGCCAGCAGCCGCGGUAAGACGGAGGGUGCAAGCGUUAUCCGGAUUCACUGGGUUUAAAGGGUACGUAGGCGGUCCUGUAAGUCGAUGGUGAAAACUAACAGCUCAACUGUUAACGUGCCAUCGAUACUGCUUGACUUGAGUAUAGUUGAGGUGGGCGGAAUU